CAGACUAGUUUCGCGUCCCUUCCGUGCGUGAAGUCGGCAUUAGCAUCCCUGGCUGAAAGUUUCUUAUAGUUUCGGGCCAACCCGCUUUCUAUAUCGCCGUGUCGUGUUGAGAAUCUCGUUUAAUGUGUUUCACGAUAACUUUUCGGUGUGUGAAAACAAUCGUACGUUGUAAGUUGGUUUCUUGAAUCGGAUAUUCAACGCCGCGGUGAGCAUUCCCCAUUUUGCCAAAAUGAACUCUGUUCGCUCGUGGACUUGUGGCCUGCGUUUGAGUGAAUCGACAUGUGACAACUUCGAAAUUUCAAUCGGUUUUCGUCGUUUUAGUAGUGCGGUUUGCGGAAUCGGAUGUUCAACGUCGCGGUGAGCAUUCCCCAUUUUGCCAAAAUGAACUCUGUUCGCCUGUGGACUUGUGGCCUGCGUUUGAGUGAAUCGACAUGUGACAUCUUCGAAAUUUCAAUCGGUUUUCGUCGUUUUAGUAGCGCGGUUUUCGGGUGUACGUGCGCAAUUUUCGAUGACUUUCCGCGGAAUUCGGUGCUCUCCUCCGAACGCGGGAUGGGAAUGGCGACCAUUACCCCAAGUUUCGUACUUUCUCGCUUCCUUUUGUUUUAUACAAGUUCAUUGCGUGCGUUAUCCGUUUUGUUUGAUUGGAAAGGAAUCGGCCAAUUCUUCAUGUUUUCUCGGCUUCGCGUCAAUAUUUCAAUUAUCCGAUCGCGUGCAACUUACCAUACUCGGAAAGAAAAUGUUGGACACCUGCUCUUCUGAUCACAACCUUUUUAGUGCUGGUAUUUGUGACUUCGGUUCCGGAUUGUCAGUAUAACCUUUCCGUGGCUAAUCUUCUAGUGCGUAGUGCGGUCUCAGUGGUGAAGUUGUGAGUGCUUUCAGCUUGGCGUCGGGCAAUUGGAUAACAUUUUUCUGAAACCUGCGCUGUGAGCUGCAACCUGCAACCCCGACGCA